UGAACUCAUUGAGAGUAGAGGCAGUGCAUGUUUACAUGCCAGUGCUUAGACACACAAAUUUUCUCAGCAUCUGAAAUGAAGUAGGACCACCCGCUGAACUUAAGCAUAUCAUUAAGCGGAGGAAAAGAAACUAACAAGGAUUCCCCUAGUACGGGCGACGGAAGCGGGAAAAGCCCACGCUGGUAAUCUGCGGGCGUUAGCUCGCCGAAUUGUAAUCUGAAGACGGUUGGUCUAAUUGGAUCGGGCGCCGAAGUGUGCACGAGCGCGCCGCCAAAGAGGGUGAGAGCCCCGUAAGGUGCCAGAUCCUACCAAGGCCGGUUGUCGAAGAGUCGUGUACUUUGAUACUAGUGCACCAAGCGGGAGAUAAACUUCUUCUAAGGCUAAAUAUAAGUAGGAAACCGAUAGCGAACAAGUACUGUGAAGGAAAGAUGAAAAGCACUUUGGAAAGAAAGUUAAAAGACUUGAAAUCGUUGAGGCGGACCCGGUAGAAAUGUAUUCUAGCGAAGCUCCCUGGGAAGCCUGUACGCGGGCCACUUGGGAGCUAGCCGAGGCAAGAUGGAGUCGCACGAUGCUAAAGGCCGCGCAGGAGGACCUCCGGGUAAGCCUGUGCUGGUCGAGUGUCGAGCGGCUUGAGGGGCUUUGAGCGAUCUUGCCAAAAUGGUUUUUACCGACUCGUCUUGAAACACGAACCAAGGAGUCUAAGACUAACGCGAGUAUGGUGGUGGAGAAACCAACAUGCGAAAUGAAAGUAAAUGAUGCCAGGAACCCUGCAGCAUCGACCGACUUCUUUCUUCUGGUGGAGGUUUGAGUAAGAGCGUUAUUCUUAGGACCCGAAAGAUGGUGAACUAUGCCUGUGUAGGGUGAAGUCAGGGGAAACUCUGAUGGAAGCUCGUAGCGAUACUGACGUGCAAAUCGUUCGUCGAACAUGGGUAUAGGGGCGAAAGACUAAUCGAACCAUCUAGUAGCUGGUUCCCUCCGAAGUUUCCCUCAGGAUAGCUGGGACAAUCACGCAGUUUUAUUAGGUAAAGCGAAUGAUUAGAGGCAUCGGGGAUAAAAUGUCCUUGACCUAUUCUCAAACUUUAAAUUGGUAAGAACUCCCGCCUUCGCUUAAUUGAAGCAGGAGGUUCAAUGCGUGUCCUUAGUGGGCCAUUCUUGGUAAGCAGAACUGGCGAUGAGGGAUGCUCCUAACGUCUGGUUAAGGUGCCAAACUGCACGCUCAUCAGAAACUACAAAGGGUGUUGGUUCAUACAGACAGCAGGACGGUGGCCAUGGAAGUCGGAAUCCGCUAAGGAGUGUGUAACCUCACCUGCCGAAUG
rnacentral:rRNA from 1 species